GCCGGGCGCGGUGGCUCAAGCCUGUAAUCCCAGCACUUUGGGAGGCCGAGGCAGGCGGAUCACGAGGUCAGGAGAUCGAGACCAUCCUGGCUAACACGGUGAAAGCCCGUCUCUACUAAAAAUACAANNNNNNNNNNCAGCUAAUUUUUGUAUUUUUAGUAGAGACGGGCUUUCACCGUGUUAGCCAGGAUGGUCUCGAUCUCCUGACCUCGUGAUCCGCCUGCCUCGG
rnacentral:SRP_RNA from 1 species